rnacentral:piRNA from 1 species
UGCAAAAUGUUUGUGUCUGCUUGAAC